GAAACAUUGAAGUACGGUAAGGAAUGCACCACUAUCAAUGUUUUUGUAUUUUACCCAAGAAUGAUUGUGACAUUGCAACAAUGACCCUUUCUUACCUAAGAAGCAUUAAGCUAAUCUUCUGUUUGAUAAUUAGUGAUAACCAUAGAGUUUUGUGAUAAUCCCACAAAGCUUAACAAGUUCCACAUUAAGAAUAGAAUCAAGCUUUUAUUCACAAUCAUUAACGAGUUCACUUUGUAGACUGUUAGGCCUCGAGUUCGAAUUCAGGGCAGAGCAAAUGAACAAUAAUAAGUGAGGGAUGCAAAUGGAAUUGCUCAUUUUGAUCAGUGUUGCUUGUAUUAUUACUUAUAAACAAGUUAUCAUUACUA
rnacentral:misc_RNA from 1 species